UGACGAAGCGACGCCGCGUGUGGGAAGAAGGCCUUCGGGUUGUAAACCACUGUCGGGAGUUAAGAAAUACAAGGAUAUUAAUAGUGUCUUUGUUUGACUAAGGCUCCGGAGGAAGCCACGGCUAACUCUGUGCCAGCAGCCGCGGUAAUACAGAGGCGGCAAGCGUUGUUCGGAAUUAUUGGGCGUAAAGAGCACGUAGGCGGCUACGUAAGUCGGUUGUGAAAGCCUUCCGCUUAACGGAAGAACAGCAGCUGAUACUACAAAGCUUGAGUACGGAAGGGGAGAGUGGAACUUCUGGUGGAGCGGUGAAAUGCGUAGAUAUCAGAAGGAACGCCGGCGGCGAAAGCGGCUCUCUGGUCCGAAACUGACGCUGAGUGUGCGAAAGCUAGGGGAUCAAACGGGAUUAGAUACCCCGGUAGUCCUAGCCGUAAACGAU
rnacentral:rRNA from 1 species